rnacentral:sRNA from 1 species
GUGUCUCAAUCAGGACAGUCUGAAGAAGGAAAUUCUAAUAGCAUCAUUGCUUUGAUCCUUCUCCCACCCUCCCCCAUGAGUUUAAAUUACUGCUAGAGGGAGGCAUUCUAAUCUUCACAUAGAAGUGCUGCUUGAGUAAUGUCUCAGCUUGGAAGUAUGAUGGACUGCCAUUCAUCUAAAAUCAAGUUGUUAAAGUGGUAAAUUUUUCUUCAUAUAGGCUUUUUUUAUAUAUUAAGUGUUUUCUUGUAAAAUAUGUGUAUCUCUGUCUUCUUAAUGGGAGUAAUGAAGCAAUUUAAAUUUAAAACUUUUUUUUUUCAUUGAAGGGAUGAGUCCACUAUACAGUUUUGUAAAUUGCGCUAACAGGCAUAUUUGGGAAUUUUGUUUGGGGGGUGUGUGUGUGUGAACUCUUAGGCAGAGGAAUUCCACUCGGUGGUACAUGCCCUCUUGGAGUGGCUGGCUGAGGCGGAGCAAACCCUGCGUUUCCAUGGUGUCCUCCCAGAUGAUGAGGAUGCUCUCCGGACUCUCAUUGAUCAGCAUAAAGAAUUCAUGAAGAAACUGGAAGAAAAGAGAGCUGAACUAAAUAAAGCCACCACUAUGGGCGACACCGUUUUGGCUAUCUGCCACCCCGACUCCAUCACUACCAUUAAGCACUGGAUAACAAUCAUCCGGGCGAGGUUUGAGGAGGUGCUGGCCUGGGCAAAGCAACAUCAGCAGAGAUUAGCAAGUGCUCUGGCUGGGCUUAUUGCCAAACAGGAAUUGUUGGAAGCUUUGCUGGCUUGGUUGCAAUGGGCUGAAACUACACUUACUGAAAAGGAUAAAGAAGUCAUCCCUCAGGAGAUCG